rnacentral:rRNA from 1 species
AGCGAACGCUGGCGGCAGGCUUAACACAUGCAAGUCGAGCGGGCGUAGCAAUACGUCAGCGGCAGACGGGUGAGUAACGCGUGGGAACAUACCUUUUGGUUCGGAACAACACAGGGAAACUUGUGCUAAUACCGGAUAAGCCCUUACGGGGAAAGAUUUAUCGCCGAAAGAUUGGCCCGCGUCUGAUUAGCUAGUUGGUGAGGUAACGGCUCACCAAGGCGACGAUCAGUAGCUGGUCNGAGAGGAUGAUCAGCCACAUUGGGACUGAGACACGGCCCAAACUCCUACGGGAGGCAGCAGUGGGGAAUCUUGCGCAAUGGGCGAAAGCCUGACGCAGCGACGCCGCGUGAGGGAUGACGGCCUU